rnacentral:lncRNA from 1 species
GCAGAGAAUGUAGUUUCUUUUGAACCCCACCCAGAUAUUAAUCAGUCUAAAACUCAAGUGAUGAAGAAAUAGUAUUUGUAAUUAUGAUCAUUUUAAUGUGUCUAUAAAUAUAUAAUAGGACCUUUGCAACUUAAUUAUGAGUAAUUAACUCACACUUCAUAUAGUAUGGAGCACCUUAGAUUACAUAUUGUUGAACUAUUGGCAUUAAUAUCUGUAUUUUCAUGUUAUUUACAAUACAUAAGUAUAGUUCUCUUGUAUAACAACUUUCCAGUGAUUUUGAAAAUAUAUCAUGAAAGAGUGCAUUACAAUUUACAGAUGCAUCAAAGCUUUCCUACAACAUUGAGGCUGGGACUUCACUCUUCAGCAUUUUAAAAUAGGAAACAAAAUCAGUGUUAAAGCUAUGUUUUCCAAAGUGAUUGUUUUGUUGUGUGUGUGUGUGUUUAGACACUAGUUUCAUAAGGUGUCUUAGAAAGUAGUUCUGUAGACGUGUUAGGAAUGACAUAGGAUCAUCCCUGUGUGUUUGGAUCAUUUCCCCUGCAGAACUGCGAUAUGCAAUAAAGUCUCUGAAGAGGGCUGCAACCAUGAACUCUGUUUAACAUUUUUUAAUGCAGUAUAUAACAGUUUUUGAUUACUAACCCUUUUAUUUCCCUCUACACAAAAUACCAUUCAAUCAAUACCCUUUGGAACUUGAAUUAAUGUUACUUGUAUUACUCUGGGGAAACACCUAUCUAAAAUAAAAUGCUGAUCUAAAGUAAAACUCCAUAAACACAUGUGUCUGAGUGAACAAAAUCACUUGUUAAAUCUUUCUGCAUAGCUCUCUGAAAAGACACACAAAUCUAACCUGGAACAUUUGUCUGUGUAAACUACAGUGGAGAGAAGUGUUGCAAAUACAGAAAUUCUAGAGCUAAUUCUCAAGAUUUGAGGCAAGUGACUUUAAAAUCAAAUAACAGGUUGUUUUCAGUGACUGUGUUCUGAAAGAUAAAAGCAAAAGUGUUAAAUCAAUAAGACUGUGCUGUCUGGCA